rnacentral:lncRNA from 1 species
CAAAAGUAUGGGGUAGUGACAUGUCCGCAAAACAAAAAAUAAGGCUCUACAACAGCUGUGUGGUAUCAGUUUUGCUCGAUGCUGCGAAGACCUGGGGCAUUACGCAAGCUGACAAGAAAAGAUUUGAUGCAUUUGAUAGCAGGUGUUUAGGAGAGAUCAGUAAUGUCAAAUGGCUUCACUAUGUUGGGAACAUCAAGUUUCAGGAGAGAACAAGAAAGGAGAAGAUUAUGGACUUCCUAACAAGGAAGUGGCUUUGAAGGUCUGACCACCCAGUGAGCGUGGAGCAGGGCUGGGUGGUAGGAGAUGGCCUUGUGGGUUGGUUCUAUUCUCCAGGCUUCCCAGCCCAUCCUGACUCAACAAAAUGUUGGUGAAGUCAGGCAAAUCUCUUCUAGAUUUUGACUUUUAAACCUAUUUGCUAAGAAUGGCAAAGCCUUGGGCAAGGGCUGUUGUUUUACUUCUCCGGCAUGGAGGAUGUAGUUGUUACUCACAAAUCUGGUGGGGAAAGAAUUGAAUGGGAACAUGAAAAUGAAAGACAACUUCUUUCAAGACACUGCUCGCCAGCAAGAGUAUUCAUGGGAAUCAAGGAUUUCCAAACCAGGCCCUCUAGGGUUUUGUAAUGCAUAGGCCAUGCAGGCAAAAUGGGGUUUUUACAGACUGUCAAGCCAAAAUCUACAUCAAUAGGCUCCGCUGACCUCAAUGAACCUUGCACAGAUGUGAAUCAGAGUGUAAAAGUCACCUGUUGUUUGCAUUCUCUUUCAGAAACAGCCUUUGUGUAUGUAGCUGGGGAGCAUCUCUUGAAAACUGUAGCUCAAGAAUGAUAACUUAAAACAGAUGGGAGCAAGAAAUAAAGCCAGACCAUAUGGGUAGAGUGGACCUGUUUGAAGCAAGUGCAGCCAAAUAUACUACGCUGUAGUAAUGUGUGAAAGAAGUUAUACUAAUAUAUGGGCUAUCUGAAGACUGGACAAGGGGAUAUUGAGAAAAAGGGCAAAAUCAUCAGUUCCCUACAGGAGCUUCAGGUUGGUGGGAGCAGACAGUGCUUGGAAACUCAGAUGUCAGAGCUCACGGGGAAAACCACCCUCACCCACCCUGCUGGAGGAGUACAAUGGCACAAUGGCACCCUCUGUUGCCCUGCACGCUGCUCCCAUGUGGAUGUAGAACUCCCAAAAGUAUCCAUUCCCCACCUCUGAAUCUCAUCUCUUCCCAUCGAGCUUCCUUGUUUGUUUGGAGUUAUCCUGUUAUUUCCAUUUGUAAUAAAGUCCGUCUUGUUCUU